GAGUUUGAUCAUGGCUCAGAACGAACGCUGGCGGCAGGCUUAACACAUGCAAGUCGAGCGAGGCCUUCGGGUCUAGCGGCGGACGGGUUAGUAACGCGUGGGAACGUGCCUUUCUCUACGGAAUAGUCCCGGGAAACUGGGUUUAAUACCGUAUACGCCCUUUGGGGGAAAGAUUUAUCGGAGAGGGAUCGGCCCGCGUUAGAUUAGAUAGUUGGUGGGGUAAUGGCCUACCAAGUCUACGAUCUAUAGCUGGUUUUAGAGGAUGAUCAGCAACACUGGGACUGAGACACGGCCCAGACUCCUACGGGAGGCAGCAGUGGGGAAUCUUGGACAAUGGGCGCAAGCCUGAUCCAGCCAUGCCGCGUGAGUGAUGAAGGCCCUAGGGUCGUAAAGCUCUUUCGCCUGUGAAGAUAAUGACGGUAGCAGGUAAGAAACCCCGGCUAACUCCGUGCCAGCAGCCGCGGUAAUACGGAGGGGGUUAGCGUUGUUCGGAAUUACUGGGCGUAAAGCGCACGUAGGCGGAUUAGCAAGUUGGGGGUGAAAUCCCGGGGCUCAACCCCGGAACUGCCUCAAAACUGCUAGUCUUGAGUUCGAGAGAGGUGAGUGGAAUUCCGAGUGUAGAGGUGAAAUUCGUAGAUAUUCGGAGGAACACCAGUGGCGAAGGCGGCUCACUGGCUCGAUACUGACGCUGAGGCGCGAAAGUGUGGGGAGCAACAGGAUUAGAUACUCCUGGUAGUCCAACCGUAAACGAUGAAUGCCAGACGUCGGGCACAUGCUGUUCGGUGUCACACCUAACGGCAUUAAGCAUUCCGCCUGGGGAGUACGGUCGCAAGAUUAAAACUCAAAGGAAUUCGACGGGGGCCCGCACAAGCGGUGGUAGCAUGUGGUUUAAUUCGAAGCAACCGCAGAGACCUGUACCAACCCUUGACAUCCCAGGGACCGG
rnacentral:rRNA from 1 species